rnacentral:tRNA from 1 species
GCCUUCGUGGUGAAAUGGCAAUCACCUCCCGCUUCGAACGGGAAGUUCCGGGUUCAACUCCUGGCGAGGGCU